UAGCGAUUUAUAAUAAUCGCAAUUUCCUUCGCAGUCUUCUUUCUGUAUUUCUUCUUCUUCAGUGCUACUUUCUUCUUCUGUGGUGUAGUCUACUGCAUUUAUCUCCAUUUGUUCUUGCUCUGAAUCUGUCUCAUUUAGCAAAAUUUUUGCUAAUGCUUCUUUCAAAUCUUCCUCUAUUGUCAAUACUUGUAUCUGCUGUUUAACUCGACACUUAUUGGCGUAAUGUCCCACUUUUCCACAUCUAUAGCAUACUAUAGUUUUCUCUGCUUUGCCUUGACUGGUCUUCUUUCUUUCCUUUGGCUUUCGACUGCUUUUCAGGUUGUGAAAACCUUCUGUGCUUCUCCUU
rnacentral:lncRNA from 1 species